UACGAGGGGGGGCUAGCGUUGCUCGGAAUCACUGGGCGUAAAGCGCACGUAGGCGGCUUCUUAAGUCAGGGGUGAAAUCCUGGAGCUCAACUCCAGAACUGCCUUUGAUACUGAGUAGCUUGAGUCCGGGAGAGGUGAGUGGAAUUCCCAGUGUAGCGGUGAAAUGCGUAGAUAUCAGGAAGAACACCCGUGGCGAAGGCGGUUCUCUGGGACGGUACUGACGCUGAGACGCGAAAGCGUGGGGAGCGAACAGG
rnacentral:rRNA from 1 species